AACGAACGCUGGCGGCAGGCCUAACACAUGCAAGUCGAGCGCCCUGCUUGCAGGGAGCGGCGGACGGGUGAGUAACGCGUGGGAACAUGCCCUUCAGUAGAGAAUAGCCACUGGAAACGGUGAGUAAUACUCUAUACGCCCUACGGGGGAAAGAUUUAUCGCUGAAGGAUUGGCCCGCGUUGGAUUAGCUAGUUGGUGGGGUAAUGGCCUACCAAGGCGACGAUCUAUAGCUGGUCUGAGAGGAUGAUCAGCCACACUGGGACUGAGACACGGCCCAGACUCCUACGGGAGGCAGCAGUGGGGAAUAUUGGACAAUGGGGGCAACCCUGAUCCAGCCAUGCCGCGUGAGUGAAGAAGGCCCUAGGGUUGUAAAGCUCUUUCAGAUGUGAGGAUGAUGACAGUAACAUCAGAAGAAGCCCCGGCUAACUUCGUGCCAGCCGCCGCCGUAAAAC
rnacentral:rRNA from 1 species